rnacentral:rRNA from 1 species
GAUGAACGCUGGCGGUAUGCUUAACACAUGCAAGUCGAACGGACUCUUCGGAGUUAGUGGCGGACGGGUGAGUAACGCGUGAGAAUCUGGCUUUGGGUUCGGGACAACCACUGGAAACGGUGGCUAAUACCGGAUGUGCCGAGAGGUAAAAGAGAAAUUGCCUGAAGAUGAGCUCGCGUCUGAUUAGCUAGUUGGUGAGGUAAAGGCUCACCAAGGCAGCGAUCAGUAGCUGGUCUGAGAGGAUGACCAGCCACACUGGGACUGAGACACGGCCCAGACUCCUGCGGGAGGCAGCAGUGGGGAAUUUUCCGCAAUGGGCGAAAGCCUGACGGAGCAAUACCGCGUGAGGGAAGAAGGCUCUUGGGUUGUAAACCUCUUCUCUUAGGGAAGAACAAAAUGACGGUACCUAAGGAAUCAGCAUCGGCUAACUCCGUG